UUUUUUUUUUUUUUUUUGUAAUCAAAAAAGAAAGUUUUGCAGUUCUCUGGUGGCCCAGUGAUUAAGGAUUUGUUGUCACUACUGUGACUCAGGUUCAAUCUCUGGCCUGGGAAACUUCUGCACGCCAUGGGCAUGACCAAAAAAAAUUAAAAUACAUUGUUUUUUAAAAAUGAAAAUCUUGCAAGUUUAACUGGACAUAGGACUUUGAUUUCAGUGAGUCUCAAUAAGUGUCCCUUCAUGCCAGGGCCUCUGCUACUGCAGAGAAGGCAAGAUAGGUCGUCUUGGUGGCCCUAAUUUAUCUUCCUUCCUUGUAUCCAAGCCCUUUGCCAGGUAACUUUGUAGUGACCUCCCACUUGGCCUGUGUAACUUGCUCUGGCCUAUAGAAUAAGGAGGAGGGGAGUGGCAGUGUGUGAUUCUGAGCUUCAGUCACAAGGGGCCAUGCUGGUCUCUGUUUGCUCUUUGUCCUCCUGCUCCACUCUGAGGAGGAAAUAGCUGGGAUAACCCGCUGGUCCCCAAGAGGACGAUGAGAGAUGUGUGGAGCUGAGCUACCUCCAAACACAAGUAAGCCUGCCAAAAUGCCCAUGACUCAGCAGAAUGCAGCUGACUGCCCCCCCUGCCACCAACCCUGCAGACUCAUGAAAAAUGAUAUAAUUGUUGCUUUAACUUUCUGAAUUUUGGAAUGGUUUAUGAAGUAGCAAUAGAUUAUUGAGACAAGAGUAUCCUACUUAAUGCUAAUAUUAUAUUGCCUUGGAAUCUUAAAGGCAAAAAUAAAGUUGCAGUAUUUUUAGUGACAUUGUUUUUAUAGGACUACACUCUUAAUGACAAUACAUAUAAAUGUCCCUUUUCAACCAAUAUGAAAAGAAAUCAACUGAUCAUAAGAAUUCAGUGACUACAUUAAAAAAAAAUGCUCAACAUCAGUAAGUAAUUAGAGAAAUGCAAAUCAAAACUACAAUGAGGUACCACCUCACACCUGUCAGAAUGACCACCAUUAAUAGCUCUACAAAUAACAAAUACUGGAGAGGGUGUGGAGAAAAGGGAACCUACACUGUUGGUGGGAAUGUUAAUUGGUACAACCACUAUGGAAAACGAUAUGGAGGUUUCCCAGAAAACUAAAUACAGAACUACCAUAUGAUCCAGCAAUCCCACUUCUUGGCAUACAUCCAGACAAAGUUUUCAUUCAAAAAGACACAUGCACCCCUACAUCCACUGCAGCACUAUUUACAAUAGCCAAGACAUUGAAACAACCUAAACGUCUAUUGACAGAUGAAUGGAUGAAGAAGAUAUAGGACAUAUACACAAUGGAAUACUACUCGGCCAUAAAAUAGCACAAAAUAAUGCCAUCUGCAGCAACAUGGAUGAACUAGAGAUUCUCAUACUAAGCGAAGUAAUUCAGAAAAAGACAAAUACCAUAUGAUAUGACUUAUAUAUGGAAUCUAAAAUAUGGCCCAGAUGAACCUGUCUACAAAACAGAAACAGACUCACAGACAUGGAGAGCAGGCAUGUGGUUGCCAAGGGGGAGGGGCGGGGGAGAGAAUGGGAUGGACUGGGUGUUUGAGGCUGGUACAUGCAAACUGUUGCAUUUAGAAUGGAUAAGCAAUGAGGUCCUGCUGAAUAGCACAGGGAACUAUAUCCAGUCACUUUGGAUAAAACAUGAUGGAAGAUAAGAUGAGAAAAAGAAUGUAUUUAUAUGUAUAACUGGGUCACUCUGCUCCACAGCAGCCUUUGGCAGAACAUUGUAAAUCAGCUAUAAUAAAAAUUUUUUAAAGAAUUCAAUGACUGUAAAGAACUCAUAUGACUCAACAACAAAAACAAUCAGAUUUAAAAAACGAACAGAGUAUCUGGACAGACAUUUUUCCAAAGAAGACAUACUGAUGGCCAACAGGCAAAUGAAGAGAUUCAUAGCAUCACUAACCAUCAGGGAAAUGUAAAUGUGUAAAUCAAAACCACAAUGAGAUAUCACCUCACACUCAUUAGAAUGGCUAUCAUCAAAAGACGAGAAAUAAGUGCUGGAAAGGCUGGAAAGGGAACCCGCCUACACUGUUGAUAGGAAUGAAACUGGUAUAGCCACUAUGGAAAACAGUAUGGCAAUUUCUCCAAAAAAAUUAAAAAUAGAAAUAUCAUAUGAUCCAACUAUUGCACUUCUAGGUAUUUAUCAGAAAAUGAAAAUAUAAUUCAAAAUGACAUAUGCACCCCCAUAUUCAUCACAGCACUAUUUUUAUUAGCCAAGAUAUGGAAACAACCUAAGUGCCCAUUGAUGGAUGAAUAGAUUAAGAAGGUGUGGUAUAUAGACAGUGCUGUAGUGUAUGUGGAAGUUGAAGUAUAAUACUUUACAUGUGAAACUUACACAAUGUCGAUUAAAAAAAAAAAAGAAUUGAACAAGCACACAUCAUGUACUCAUUACUGAGAUUUCUGAAUGGUAUAAAAAUUGCAGUUUCCAAUAUCUAUGAACUUAGAAUUCUGUUGAGGGAGAUUAAAUAAUGUGAGAUAAUUAGAAUGUAAGACAGUUACUGGGAGUUCCCGUUGUGGCUCAGCAGAAAUGAAUAUGACGAGAAUCCAUGAGGAUGCAGGUUCAAUCCCUGGCUUCGUUCAGGGGGUUAGGGAUUUGGUGUUGCCGUGAGCUGUGGUGUAGGUCACAGACAAGGCUCAGAUCUUGCGUUGCUGUGGCUGUGGCAUAGGCCGGCAGCUGUAGCUCCAAUUCAACCCCUAGCCUGGGAAUUUCAAUAUGCCACGAGUGCAGCCCUAAAAAGACAAAAAGGGAAAAAGAAAAAGAAAGAAAGAAAGAAAUCAGGCCAGAAGAACACCAGAAUCCUUGGCUCUUACUCCUUUGUCUCCCGUUCAUGGGAGAAGAUGCUAUUUGACUUUUAAAACUAGGAACUUGCAUCACUUUGAUGAAAAUAAAAUGAAUAAAUAAAACCAGUAAAAGCAGUUACCUGCCUCGGUUAGGAUGGUGGUCAAGAGAAGCUUUUGCUUCUCACGUAGUAUUUCAAUUUUUUUACAGUGAAAGCUUACUUUCAUAUGACUUGUAUAAUUAAAAGUAACUAAAAUAAAACACAUAGAAAUAAAAUAACCAAACUAGAAUCGAGGUCGAUGGUUUCCAAAGCACUGUUUAACAAUAUAAAUAAUUUGGAAGCAGUUGAAUUUCUCAGGCAGAACUAUAACUGCUAAUUCUAGAACCCAUUCCCUGCUACACGCGAGGCACUGCACCACAGUUUUUACAGGUAACCUCAUUUAAUCCUCACGAUCUUAUAAAGCAGGGAGCCCUAUCAGCUCCAUUUUACAGAUGUGGAAACUGAGGCUUGGAGAAAUGCAGACAUGUGCCCAAGGUUCCCGGGCUAGGAGAUAUCAAAGCCGCAACGUGAACAAAAUCUCUGUCUCUGGAGCUCAAGAACUUAACUCCGUGUCCAGAAGGAACAUGCUUUCCUUUUACAAGUCCAAAAUCGUACAUUUACAUUAGAAAACAUAACUUUGAAAUUCACCAAAAAAUAGUCGUUUUUAGCAAGGGGAAAAUAGCAAAUACAUCCCCAAUCCCUAUGGCUCUGGCAGUGAGGAGGGGCAGAGAUGGGUCCUGAGCGCCAGAGGCACGUUGACCCCAUGCAGGAGCUGUGGUCAGACUGUGGCCCCCUGCAGACCUGUGGGGCUUCCCAAGGAGCCCCUGGGGCUUCCCUAGUUAGCAUCCCAAGCCCUUUUGGCGACUGCACCUUGUUCGUUUUGUUUUUUUUUUUAAUUAAAGUUUAGUUGAUUCCCAAUAUUGUGUUUGUUUCAAGUGUACAGCAAAGUGUUUCAGUUAGGUUUGCGUGUGUGCGUUUUUCAUAGUGGCUUUACCAAUUCACAUUCCUUAGGCGACGACCUCUUACAUCUUACAGUCCAAUACUGGUAUUCUUCCCAUGGUCCUGGUCCUCCAUCAUUUCUCAUGUUGGUUAGCUGCCCAGCACAUCAUUGGCAUACAUAUGCCAGCAGUCAUUCCAAGACUAUAGAUUCUAGAUGACAGAGAUUUAUUCUGAACAGUACCUAGCUCAGGACCUGCCACCUGUUGAAAGAUGCUUAGUCAAUGAAUACUACCAACAGAAGGCUAAUGAACUGCUCUAAUGCCACAUCUGGAGGGCUCCAUGACACAUCCCCAGACCCACCCUGAUGAAGCUACCAAUUAGAGACAGACUAUGACGGUGAGAGUGCGUUUAAAGGUAAAAAAGUAAAUAAAGACAUGGGUGAGGCCAAGAGCCUCAGAAGUGAACUGGCUAAUUAAAUGCAAGAAUCUGUAUGUGCAAUCUGAGUGUCCAUGCAGCCAGCAACAUAUUGUACAUGAAAAAUACACAGAAGAGACCAUUUAAUAAUAGUCAAUACAGAUGUGCUUCCCACGAAAUAAUCCCAUUCCACUAACAGGCUGACCUUUUCCCAAAAGUACCGUGGCUCCCGCUUCACCUUCUCAUUCUCUCUACCACUUCAAUCCACACGUCACAUCAAGUAUGGUUCCCAGGCGAGGUUUUAGAAAGAAGGGUAAGACCAGGCUCCCGAGUUUCUACUCCAUUAAGAUCUUCAAGGUACGUGGCGUAGUCACAAGCCGGGGGAGCCUGCAAACAGUUACUGGAGGGCAGGCAUGACUCAGAUAGGAGUUCUCAAGGCCCAUUCUAACAUUGACUGCUUUAUACAAACCUGUUACCCAGGGCUUCUGCUGCCUGCUCCCAUCACUUGUGCAUGACUCUGGUAAUGUCCUGCUCUAACUGACCCACUGGUCACUGACCUUGACAGAGCUCAUUUGCACAGGCAGCUGUGCCUGCUUCUUAAAGUAGAAAAACCUGGAGUUCCCGCCAUGGCUCAGUGGUUAGCGAACCCGACUAGCAACCAUGAAGUUGCAGGUUUGAUCCUUGGCCUUGCUCCAUGUGUUAAGGAUCCUGUGUUUCUGUGGCUCUGGCGUAGGCCUCGGGUACAGCUCCAAUUGGACCCCUAGCCUGGGAACCUCCAUAUGCCACAGGUGCAGCCCUAAAAAGAAAAAAAAAAAAAAAGCAGGAAAACCUGUCUGGCAUUCCAUUCUCUCACCCGGAACCCAAAACCCCUGCCAAUCAGCACAUUGCUCUCCCCCUCCUUUUGACAAUGAAUGGCAUUUAGAGAUGUCUUGUUAAAUCUCAGGAUUCUGAACUAAUAUCCCAUCACUUCAACCUUUAAAGUAGGUUAAUGAUGGAGUAAAAGUACAUGUCAGCAAUUUAACAUAAUAUGCAAACACAGCUCUAAGCAUAUCCUUUCCAGCAGAAGACAGUAAAUCGCUGUAUCAAGGUCUUACAUCAACUAGUUAAUGCUUUCAAGGUGUGCCAGGAGAGGACAGGGUGACGCAUUCAUUGGAGAUGAUGGAGGAGCAGGGGAAAGUUGGUUGUUUCAAAGAAUCUGCCAGCCGGGAGGUAAGACACCAAAUUUAAGAAUGAUCAGACUUGUUAACUACCCUUUCAAAACAGCCUUCUAUUUUUUUAAAAAAAAAAAGUCACUAAAAUACAUUGUCACUAUUCCCUAUGAAGAGUACUUUCAAAACAACGCAAAGUAGUGAAACUCCUUAUGUUACAAACAUAAGGUGUGCCUCUUUCUAAGUCUCAGAAUAAUUUGCCAACUUCCAAUUUAAUUAUGACUGAGAUUCAAGUCAACUGUAGAGUGUUCUUGAGAUACACUUUCUGUAGAUUCCAGCUGGCAGCAAGUGGAAAGAUUCCAAAUACAUUCAAAAUACACCCCAGAGUGGAAAGGCGGGGAGUAGUAAAAAAAGGAAAAAAGAAAUGAAAUUCUUUAUUUUAUUCUAUUUUAUUUUAUUUUUUUUUUUUGUCUUUUUGCUAUUUCUUGGGCUGCUCCCCCGGCAUAUGGAGGUUCCCAGGCUAGGGGUCCAAUCGGAGCUGUAGCCACCAGCCUACGCCAGAGCCACAGCAACGCGGGAUCCAAGCCGCAUCUGCAACCUACACCACAGCUCACGGCAACGCCGGAUCAUUAAUCCACUGAGCAAGGCCAGGGACCGAACCCGCAACCUCAUGGUUCCUAGUCGGAUUUGUUAACCACUGCGCCACGACGAGAACUCCAGAAAUGAAAUUCUUUAGAAAGAAAUUUUCUUUCUAGGUUAACCACCAAGAACACAAUCAGAUAUGACUUAGUCUGUUAACUUAUAAUCUCUGUCAAGUAAGAUUUUCCAAAACCUGCCUUAUCUUUCCUGGAAAUCAAAACUGAAAAUCAUUCCACAGGGCAGGGAAAACAGAGGGCUUCAAAUUUUUUCAAAUAGAGACAUAUGGACAUCUUGAGAUAUUCUAGUGUUAUCUCUAAGACCCCUUUCAGUUAGGAAAAACCAUCAAGUCAUAGUUUCCAACUUUUAAAAUCAGUAGUGUGUUACCACUAAUUAAUAUGUACCAUGUUAUCAUUAGAGUUUAGAUUCUAUCUUCAAGGAAAGCCCAGAGAAUAUCAACGGAUCCAGAGGCCUUUUGUAAACAUCAGGUGACAUUACACUUUAGAAAGAACUGGGGAGGAAAAUGUUGAGCCUGAAUUUUUGGCUCAUUACCCAAAUACAGCCACUGUCAGCUUUAAAAAAAAAAAAAAUGGGGGGGGCCUGCACUUUCAGCAGUGGAAGUUCCCAGGCUAGGGAUUGAACCCAUGCCACAGCAGUGACCCAAGCUGCUGCAGGGACAAUGCUGGAUCCUUAACCUGCUAUUCCACAAGGAAACGCCUAAAUUUCAUUAUUCUGAUGUUUGUCAACUGUUGCCUUCCCUGUAAAUGUUGAAGGUAGAUUGAUGAAGAAUAUGAAACCACAUUUCCAGAUUUUUAAUCAGCAUUGUGUUUCAAAAUAGUCUUCAUUUUACAGGAGAAAAAUUCUAUGGCACAGAAAGCCCCCGUGAAUUAUUCAUCAGUUACAGAGUGUGCCAACAUUCAACUCUUUGUACCUCUCAACAAGUGUGUGCAUGGGCGUGUGAAGUGUCACAUGCCUGGGCUCCCCAGUCCAGGACCUGGGUAGGAAGGCAAACCCCAGCUCACUGGAGAUUCCUGGAAAACUAGGCGGAGCAGAGCGUUUAGAAGCGAAGGUAGGAGGCAUAUUGGCCCUACACGAGCUGACCCAUAGCCUACUCUCCAGGAACCAAAAUAAGUUACAACUGCUCAUCUUAAAGGGUCCAGCAUCACAAGCAUCAGCAUGAGUCAACACGAUCUGCUGGUGUCCAUGGAGCAGCCUUUGAAAUCACGCUGGGAUGCCCAUGAACUGUGGCACUGGCUGUCGGUCCCUGGGGAUGCUGUGCAGGGUGAGCCAGGUCACUCCUGAACCCAGCCUGAUGCGGAACAAACUCUCUCAUAAAGCACAAGUGUAGGGGAGCAUUUUAGGGAUGGCAUCCCUAACUCAGAUGAAGCCACCAGUGUGCCCAAUCUACAGAGAUAAAAACUGCAUCAUAACACAGAAAGAUGAAAGAAUUCAUCUCACAGCUGUGUUAACACAGAGGAGCUGUCAUGGAGAUGGAAGAUGAAAGGAGAAGAGAGCGCAUGAGCAGAAACGGGUCACAAAUGCUGGCCCACAUGCACUGAAGACUCCUUCUAAAGUGCUCCAAAAGACAACCCACCUAAACUUAAUUUAAUAGAGCUGGACUCC
ensembl:lncRNA